rnacentral:rRNA from 1 species
GAUGAACGCUGGCGGCGUGCCUAAUACAUGCAAGUCGAGCGAAGCGGGGACGGGUGAGUAACACGUGGAUAACCUCCUAUAAGACUGGGAUAACUUCGGGAAACCGGAGCUAAACCGGAUACUUACAGAUGGAUCCGCGCUGCAUUAGCUAGUUGGUAAGGUAACGGAUUACCCAGGCAACGAUGCAUAGCCGACCGGAGAGGGUGAUCGGCCACACCGGAACUGAGACACGGUCCAGACUCCGACGGUAGGCAGCAGUAGAGAAUCGUCCGCAAUGGGCGAAAACCUGACGGGACAACGCCGCGUGAGUGAUGAGGUUAUGCGGAUCGUAAAACUCUGUUAUUAGGGUAGCGGUACCUAAUCAGAAAGCCACGGCUAACUACGUGCCAGCAGCCGCGGUAAUUC